rnacentral:lncRNA from 1 species
AUGCAGUAUCGGGGUCCCGGUGCAGUUUCGGGGUCCCGGAGCACUGUCGGGGGGGUUCCGGCUGCCGGUGCCGGUCUCUCCCGGUGCCGAGGAGGGUCCCGAUGUAGUAUUUGGGUCCCGGUGCUGUUUCGGGGUUCCGGUGCAAUUUCAGGGGGGCUCCCGGUGCCGGGGAGGGUCCCCGCACGGUACCGGGGUCCCGGUGCAGUGUCUGGGUCCCGCUGCGGUACCGGGGGGGGUCCCGGUGCAUUUUCGGGGUCCCGGUGCGCUGUAAGGGGGGGUCCCCGGUGCCGGUCUCUCCCGGUGCCGGGGGAGGGGUUCCGAUGCAGUAUCUGGGUCCCGGUCCCGGUCUCUCCGGUGCGGGGGUUCUCGGUGCAGUUUCGGGGUCCCGGUGCGGUAUCGGGGGGGAUCCCGGUGCAGUAUCGGGGUCCCGGAGCGCUGCCGGGGGGGCUCCCGGUGCCCGUGUCGGUCUCUCCGGUGCGCGGGGCGGGGCCGGGGCGGGGCCGUUCCCGCCGGGCGGGGCCGUUCUCGCCGCUCGCCCCGACCGCGGCCCCGGCCCCGGUACCGGCCCCGCCCGCCGGGCCCAGCCCCACCAGCACCGGCACCGCCGGGACCCCCGGCACCGGAACCCCCCCGGAACCCCCCCGGCAUCACCCGCAUCCCCGGGCGAGGGGCCCGGAGCCCCCUCAGGUACCGGCACCGGCGCGGGGAGGCCGAGGCGGGGGGGGGAUGCACCGGGAUGGGGAUGAGGGCGGGGGCAGGACCGGGGAUGCGCCGGGAUGGGGAGGGGGUAGCGGGGCUGCGGCGGGGGAUGGGGGGGCUCACGGCCCCCCCCCUCCAUCGCCGGGUCCCCCCGAGGCCCGGGGGGCCGCGCCCUCCCCUCCCCCCCCUCGGACGCGGGGUCCCCGCGGGGGGGCGAGGGGGGGAGGGGAGGGGACACGAGCGGCCCCUUGCACACGCGCGUGCACGGCCGUGACCCCCCCGCAGCCGUGCCCGCACCCCGGGCACGCGCUCGUGACCUCUUGCACACGCGCGUGCAAGCGGCGGCAGGUGCGUGUGGCGUGUCCGUCCGUGCGCGUGUCCGUGCGCGUGUCCGUGCGCGUGUCCGUGUGUCCCCCCCCCCCCCCAGUGUGUCCCUGUGUCCCCCCAUGUGUGCGACACCCCCCCCCCUUGCACGCGCGCGCCCCUCCCGUGGGUGCGGACCGCCCCCCUGUGCACGCGCGUAUGCCCCCCCCCCCCCCCGCGCCUCUGCGCCUCCCUCCCCCCGUCACGCAACGUCCCCCGCACCCUCCCUAUGUCGCGACAGGGCGCCUUGUCCCGACAUGA